ensembl:snoRNA
AAACAAACAACUCAUUGUAAAAAUGGGCAAAGAUGCAUUCCUACAGUGCUUGCCAGAACCAUUUUAAAAUGGUUUGAGGCCUUGCCCUGUCCUAUCCAGAGCAAGGUAAUAGAAAUUUCAGAGAAUU